UGAUCUAGUGGCGGACGGGUGAGUAACACGUGAGCAAUCUGCCUUUCAGAGGGGGAUACCGAUUGGAAACGAUCGUUAAUACCGCAUAACAUAAUUGAACCGCAUGAUUUGAUUAUCAAAGAUUUAUCGCUGAAAGAUGAGCUCGCGUCUGAUUAGCUAGUUGGUAAGGUAACGGCUUACCAAGGCGACGAUCAGUAGCCGGACUGAGAGGUUGAUCGGCCACAUUGGGACUGAGACACGGCCCAGACUCC
rnacentral:rRNA from 1 species